GACGAACGCUGGCGGCGUGCUUAACACAUGCAAGUCGAACGGAAAGGCCCUGCUUUUGUGGGGUGCUCGAGUGGCGAACGGGUGAGUAACACGCGAGUAACCUGCCCUUGACUUUGGGAUAACUUCAGGAAACUGGGGCUAAUACCGGAUAGGAGCUCCUGCUGCACGGUGGGGGUUGGAAAGUUUCGGCGGUUGGGGAUGGACUCGCGGCUUAUCAGCUUGUUGGUGGGGUAGUGGCUUACCAAGGCUUUGACGGGUAGCCGGCCUGAGAGGGGGACCGGGGACAUUGGGACUGCGAUACGGCCCAGAAUCCUACGGGAGGCAGUAGUGGGGAGUAUUGCGCAAUGGGGGGACGCGUGUUGCGGCAACCCCGGGUGCGGGAUGCCGGCCUUCGGGUUGUAAACCGCUUUCGCCUGUGACGAAGCGUGAGUGACGGUAAUGGGUAAAGAAGCACCGGCUAACUACGUG
rnacentral:rRNA from 1 species